AGUCAGAGGCGAUGAAGGACGUGCUAAUCUGCGAUAAGCGUCGGUAAGGUGAUAUGAACCGUUAUAACCGGCGAUUUCCGAAUGGGGAAACCCAGUGUGUUUCGACACACUAUCAUUAACUGAAUCCAUAGGUUAAUGAGGCGAACCGGGGGAACUGAAACAUCUAAGUACCCCGAGGAAAAGAAAUCAACCGAGAUUCCCCCAGUAGCGGCGAGCGAACGGGGAGCAGCCCAGAGCCUGAAUCAGUGUGUGUGUUAGUGGAAGCGUCUGGAAAGGCGCGCGAUACAGGGUGACAGCCCCGUACACAAAAAUGCACAUGCUGUGAGCUCGAUGAGUAGGGCGGGACACGUGGUAUCCUGUCUGAAUAUGGGGGGACCAUCCUCCAAGGCUAAAUACUCCUGACUGACCGAUAGUGAACCAGUACCGUGAGGGAAAGGCGAAAAGAACCCCGGCGAGGGGAGUGAAAAAGAACCUGAAACCGUGUACGUACAAGCAGUGGGAGCACGCUUAGGCGUGUGACUGCGUACCUUUUGUAUAAUGGGUCAGCGACUUAUAUUCUGUAGCAAGGUUAACCGAAUAGGGGAGCCGAAGGGAAACCGAGUCUUAACUGGGCGUUAAGUUGCAGGGUAUAGACCCGAAACCCGGUGAUCUAGCCAUGGGCAGGUUGAAGGUUGGGUAACACUAACUGGAGGACCGAACCGACUAAUGUUGAAAAAUUAGCGGAUGACUUGUGGCUGGGGGUGAAAGGCCAAUCAAACCGGGAGAUAGCUGGUUCUCCCCGAAAGCUAUUUAGGUAGCGCCUCGUGAAUUCAUCUCCGGGGGUAGAGCACUGUUUCGGCAAGGGGGUCAUCCCGACUUACCAACCCGAUGCAAACUGCGAAUACCGGAGAAUGUUAUCACGGGAGACACACGGCGGGUGCUAACGUCCGUCGUGAAGAGGGAAACAACCCAGACCGCCAGCUAAGGUCCCAAAGUCAUGGUUAAGUGGGAAACGAUGUGGGAAGGCCCAGACAGCCAGGAUGUUGGCUUAGAAGCAGCCAUCAUUUAAAGAAAGCGUAAUAGCUCACUGGUCGAGUCGGCCUGCGCGGAAGAUGUAACGGGGCUAAACCAUGCACCGAAGCUGCGGCAGCGACGCUGAUGCGUUGUUGGGUAGGGGAGCGUUCUGUAAGCCUGCGAAGGUGUGCUGUGAGGCAUGCUGGAGGUAUCAGAAGUGCGAAUGCUGACAUAAGUAACGAUAAAGCGGGUGAAAAGCCCGCUCGCCGGAAGACCAAGGGUUCCUGUCCAACGUUAAUCGGGGCAGGGUGAGUCGACCCCUAAGGCGAGGCCGAAAGGCGUAGUCGAUGGGAAACAGGUUAAUAUUCCUGUACUUGGUGUUACUGCGAAGGGGGGACGGAGAAGGCUAUGUUGGCCGGGCGACGGUUGUCCCGGUUUAAGCGUGUAGGCUGGUUUUCCAGGCAAAUCCGGAAAAUCAAGGCUGAGGCGUGAUGACGAGGCACUACGGUGCUGAAGCAACAAAUGCCCUGCUUCCAGGAAAAGCCUCUAAGCAUCAGGUAACAUCAAAUCGUACCCCAAACCGACACAGGUGGUCAGGUAGAGAAUACCAAGGCGCUUGAGAGAACUCGGGUGAAGGAACUAGGCAAAAUGGUGCCGUAACUUCGGGAGAAGGCACGCUGAUAUGUAGGUGAAGUCCCUCGCGGAUGGAGCUGAAAUCAGUCGAAGAUACCAGCUGGCUGCAACUGUUUAUUAAAAACACAGCACUGUGCAAACACGAAAGUGGACGUAUACGGUGUGACGCCUGCCCGGUGCCGGAAGGUUAAUUGAUGGGGUUAGCGCAAGCGAAGCUCUUGAUCGAAGCCCCGGUAAACGGCGGCCGUAACUAUAACGGUCCUAAGGUAGCGAAAUUCCUUGUCGGGUAAGUUCCGACCUGCACGAAUGGCGUAAUGAUGGCCAGGCUGUCUCCACCCGAGACUCAGUGAAAUUGAACUCGCUGUGAAGAUGCAGUGUACCCGCGGCAAGACGGAAAGACCCCGUGAACCUUUACUAUAGCUUGACACUGAACAUUGAGCCUUGAUGUGUAGGAUAGGUGGGAGGCUUAGAAGUGUGGACGCCAGUCUGCAUGGAGCCGACCUUGAAAUACCACCCUUUAAUGUUUGAUGUUCUAACGUUGACCCGUAAUCCGGGUUGCGGACAGUGUCUGGUGGGUAGUUUGACUGGGGCGGUCUCCUCCUAAAGAGUAACGGAGGAGCACGAAGGUUGGCUAAUCCUGGUCGGACAUCAGGAGGUUAGUGCAAUGGCAUAAGCCAGCUUGACUGCGAGCGUGACGGCGCGAGCAGGUGCGAAAGCAGGUCAUAGUGAUCCGGUGGUUCUGAAUGGAAGGGCCAUCGCUCAACGGAUAAAAGGUACUCCGGGGAUAACAGGCUGAUACCGCCCAAGAGUUCAUAUCGACGGCGGUGUUUGGCACCUCGAUGUCGGCUCAUCACAUCCUGGGGCUGAAGUAGGUCCCAAGGGUAUGGCUGUUCGCCAUUUAAAGUGGUACGCGAGCUGGGUUUAGAACGUCGUGAGACAGUUCGGUCCCUAUCUGCCGUGGGCGCUGGAGAACUGAGUGGGGCUGCUCCUAGUACGAGAGGACCGGAGUGGACGCAUCACUGGUGUUCGGGUUGUCAUGCCAAUGGCACUGCCCGGUAGCUAAAUGCGGAAGAGAUAAGUGCUGAAAGCAUCUAAGCACGAAACUUGCCCCGAGAUGAGUUCUCCCUGACCCUUUAAGGGUCCUGAAGGAACGUUGAAGACGACGACGUUGAUAGGCCGGGUGUGUAAGCGCAGCGAUGCGUUGAGCUAACCGGUACUAAUGAACCGUGAGGCUUAACCUU
rnacentral:rRNA from 1 species